AUACACAACGGCAGCUUUCCUACUGAUCAAUUAGUCCAGGCACAUUGACACAAGCCCCUGGAUUUUGCAACGUGAUGGCGGUGUUUGACAACUACCAUUCUGCUUUAGCUUUCCUCCAGAAUACCUGCCUUGCAUUGGCCCUGGGUAAAUGUUUCCCUUGGCUGUGAAUAGGCAAUUAAAAUUCUGAACCUUUUAUGGCUCUGGAAGCUUAUCCGAUGAAACAAUACUCAUCCAGGCGGAUGGCCCACCAGCGCAAAGGGCUGAGGCCGCUGUAAGCCAAGGUACGCAACGCUUGCUAAACAGGAAUCCCUGGAAUGAAUCCAUGCAUGAGGCCUUUGUGCCAUGUGACAGUUGAAGGCUGUGGUGACCCCGGAACCGUCCCACUCCGAGACGCCUUAACACCGUUUUUCUGCUGUUACAAACCACAGAGCAACGCGUGUGCCUCCUCCCGCCCUGGGGACUCUUUCUGUGGGAGAGGUGCCUGGAUUUAGAGGAGCGACCACUCUUCAUUUGUAGGAUCUUGGUCACUUUCCCAGUUGUCACUCGGCCCACAAACUAGGAUGUGAGCAGCAUAUUAAGAAUCUGCAGAGAUGUUCCCGUCUGCCCGGCAUAUGGAUGUCCUUCUGGGCUGCAAAGUGGCAUCCUGUGGGCAACUCCCCCCACAACAACCAGCUGUGAGCUGUGCCCAGGCACAGAGGGACCUGGCUUUCCCUGUUUCUGCAGAUGGAGCCCAGGGUUUCAGGGAGGGAGGGGGCAGGCUGGGACCUGUUGGGGAUCUGGGCACUUUCUCAUGCUCCUUGAGCUGCAAGUCAUAGAAGGAGUGGGGUGGGAGCUGGGAAUGUACCUUCCCAAGGCCACUGGCAGAACCAGCAGGCCCUUUGCUCUGGGAUGAGCUCCCUCUGAGGGGUGGGGACAGUAAAGCGGACCGAAGUCCCUGUUCUGCGGGAUGGAAACUGGCUCCCCUCCAUUGUACAGGCCAGCUCUGGGGAUUUGGGCAGCAGAUUUGGGGUUGACAGCAGAAUGACAUGAUCACCAGUUGACCUUGGCCAGGAUGCCAGCUUACUUUCUCGCUUACUUCUGCAGGUUCUUUGUUCUGCGGGUGAGUCACCCAGGUCCUGCCCUCCGUGCCUGUCUGCCCUCUCCCACUUUCCCUGCCCUGAGCUUGUUCCCACUUGUAGAUUUGGCAGGUCACUGCCAAGGCCCCUAUUCCCCCAACAUGGCCAGUGCCCUAAGGGUGGGUUGUACAGGGAGGAGCUGGCGUGGUCAGUAGACUUGAAUCAGGGACAACUCGGCUGCUGAAGGCUGAGGGGGCCUUGCAGGGCUGCAGGUGCCUUGUGCACACAGGGAGUGGGUAGAGAAGGCAACCAGGGGCUCCUUCAGGCCUUAAUGCUCUGCAGCCCAGUGAGGCUGUGCCCAGAGAGUCUGGCGAGGCCCUGGUCUGCUCCCCCAGCCAAUGGCCUGAUGCUGUUCCAUCUGGGCACCCUGUCACUUUUCGUUCAUCAGGGAGUACAGGGUGAUUCAGGGUCUCAAAUGCAGGUGUUCACAAAAUGAAAUAGAACUUCCCUCUAUCCCCGUGCUUCUUUUUAUUUUUAUAACAAAUAUACAUCGUUAUAUUUUAUUUUUAUAUUUAUGUAUUUUAUAUAUAUGUGACAUCUACUACAUGACAGAAAAUAUUUAUGGCCAGGCAAGGUGGCUUACACCUGUAAUGCCAGCACUUUGGGAGGCUGAGGCAGGCGGAUCACCUGAGGUCGAGAGUUGGAGACCAGUGUGACCAACAUGGAGAAACCCCAUCUCUACUAAAAAUACAAAAUCAGCUGGGGGUGGUGGCGCAUGCCUGUAAUCCCAGCUACUCGGGAAGCUGAGGCAGGAGAAUCGCUUGAACCGGGGAGGCGGAGGUUGUGGUGAGCCGAGAUUGCACCAUUGCACUCCAGCCUGGCAACAAGGGAUAAACCCCGUCUCAAAAAAAAAAAAAGAAAAAAAAAAAGAAAAAAAUAUUUAUAAUGUAACUAAUAUAGCUAAAAUAAAAUGUAAUUUCAGUCUCAAGCCUUCAUUCUGUUAAGGGGACAGAAACUUAAUCUUGGUCAUCUUGGGGUCUCCCUCCCUGGGGCUGUGCCUGACUUCCAGGGGGCUCGGCGUUGGCAGGAUUUCUGGUGCUUGAGGUCACCUGUCAGCCUGUCUCUUGUCAUUGGCUAUCCGCCGUGCCAUCUGCUCCUGUGUGUCCUUGGCACUGUUCGCAUGUCUCCAGCUCGCUGGCUUUCUCUGCCACCUUGGAGCCACUCCUGGGUGCACAGGAGUCUUACUGCUCCCACGCUGUGCUGGGGCCUGGGAAGACUGCUGUGGCCUACCUGCCUCCGUGUAGCACACACACCCAUUUCUUCUUCUUCUUCUCCUUCUCCUUCUUCAGACAGAGACUCACUCUGUCACCUAGGCUGGACUGCAGUGGUGCCAAAUUGGCUCACUGCAACCUCCGCCUCCCGGGUU
rnacentral:lncRNA from 10 species